rnacentral:lncRNA from 1 species
UUCUGCUUACGUGAGAUAUUAUUCGCUUUAAUCCAUAUUAGGUACCAUAAGACGGCACCAAGAUUACAAUCAAGAGCUUGGAUAGCUUGGAUGGAUCGGUCUAUAUGCCCACGCACUUGAGGUAUUAUUCACUUUAGCCCAUAUCAAAUAUCACACAAUUUUGUUCCAUAUAAAAGACAUCUCACUGGAGGAAAAGAAGAUUCUAUCCUAU